UCUUUGUUUUUCAAUGAGAGUGCUGUAUAAAUUAUGUUGCAAUCGAAUCAGUACGAUUUGUAUGAUAAAAAUUUAUAAAAGUAAACAGAAAAUUUUUUCAUUGCACACUUUUUCGCUAUAUGUAACAUAUUCUCACUGCAAUUCCAUAUGGAGCGUUAGAUGAUUAGUAUUUAAAUCACGUGUUUUCAUCGACUUUGCUCUUCUCUCUUUCUCUCUUACUAGAU
rnacentral:lncRNA from 1 species